rnacentral:rRNA from 1 species
UACGAAGGGGGCUAGCGUUGUUCGGAAUUACUGGGCGUAAAGCGCACGUAGGCGGAUCUUUAAGUCGGGGGUGAAAUCCCGAGGCUCAACCUCGGAACUGCCUUCGAUACUGAAGAUCUUGAGUCGGGGAGAGGUGAGUGGAACUGCGAGUGUAGAGGUGAAAUGCGUAGAUAUUCGCAAGAACACCAGAGGCGAAGGCGGCUCACUGGCCCGGUACUGACGCUGAGAUACGAAAGCGUGGGGAGCAAACAGG